GGAUUGUCAUUCAUGUUACAUCGUGUCCUGUUCGUUAGGGUUAUUUUAAAUUAUUUUACAUUAUAGACAUUAUCUACAUUCGGACUUCGCCGUGUAAUCCAGACUGACCAAGAUUCCUGUGGGACUCCAAGGCCUAGAAGGCUUUCCAGGGACUUAAGACAAGUUUUACCUCCAGCCCCAAUUCUCACACUUCCGGAUUCUCAGCGGCAGUUUGUGGUGGAAGUCGAUGCGUAAGAUGUAGGACUCGGAGCCGUUCUCUCGUAAUGAUCCGAGAAGGAUAACAAGCUGCAUCCGUGUGCAUUCUUAUCCCGAAAAUUGUCUCCAGCUGAAAGAAACUACGACGUCAGUAACCGGGAACUGCUUGCUAUCAAGUUGACAUUGGAGGAGUGGCGGCACUGGUUGGAGGCAGCAGAGCAUCCUUUUCUGGUUUGGACUGAUCACAAGAACCUGCAGUACAUUCAAUCCGCAAGACGACUCAACACCAAACAGGCCAGUGGGGAGAGUGAGAGAGAGCGAGAGAGGUCGGAUCGCCAGGCCUAGCAUUCCUAUCCUUCCUGCGUGACGAAGGCCUCCGUGCCGCUCUUGACUUUGUUGAAAGUCUUUUGAGCUCCAUUUCAGUGCGCCUAUGGCUACCAGCAGCCGCUGUUUCCCGACUUGGAGGCAGAGUCCAGCGUUCCGUCUGCUCAGGCACUAGUCCGCCGCUGUCACCGGACCUGGAGCCGGGCUCGGCAAGUCCUUCUCAGCAGUUCUGCACCAUACUCUCAUCCGGAACUUCCACCGUCAGCAUCCCAAGUUUCCUGAGACAUCAGGUGCCAGAGCGCAGCUUGGCGUUAUGGAAGCGCAGAGAGGAUGUGUUCGUGACUACGUUGAAAUCCAGACCAAGAUUGUGCAGGGCCCAAAUAUCUAUCGAGACCAGAGGCAGCCGAAAUCUGUCCCACCCCAGCAAUCUGUCAAUGACUCCCUAGCCGCCAGGAUCAUCCGCCCCUCUUCACCUAUCACUUGGUGCGGAUCUGAGAUGGUGAUGAGUGGAAGACAGCUUUCAACAACACCUCAGAACACUAGGAAUAUUUGGUGAGGUCUUCUUCCUCACCAACGCCCGGCUGUGUUUCAGGCCUUGGUCAACGAUGUGCUAAGGGACAAAACUAAAGAGGAGCAUUUGCAUCGUGUCCAGUCGGUCCUUCAGUGCCUCCUGGAGAACUCUUUGUUGGUCAAGACUGAAAAGUGAGUUCCACACCUCAUCUGUCUCCUUCCUGGGGUACAUCGUGGGACAGGGGAGCAUGCAGAUGGACACCACCAAGGUGUCAGCUAUUAUGUCCUGGCUUGUCCCUGACUCACGUAAACAGCUGCAACGGUUCCUGGGGUUCACAAACUUCUAUCAGAGGUUCAUCUGCGGCUAUAGCACUGUUGCUUCCCCACUCACGGCCCUCGCCUUAUCCAAGGUGCCGUUCCGGUGGUCUUCCUCAGCUGAGGAGGCCUUCAAGAAACUCAAGGCCUGGUUCACAUCUGCUCCCAUCCUCCAAGUACCAGACCCUGAGAGACAAUUUGUUGUGGAGGUGGGAGCCAUCCUGUCCCAGAGAGAUGCCUCUGCCCUGCCCCAGCCAAUCUUCCUGCGGAAUCUUGCUCCCCUUUUUCCUUGAAUUUGGGUCCAGACACCUUUCCUGACAGAAAUUAUAUUUCACAUGCCCACAUUACCAACGCCUGUCAGGGAAAACAUAAAUUAUCACCUCAUUUUCUAGAGAGGACAGUCUGAAGCAGCAAACAUGCCCAUGGGAAAUGUGUUCUUAAUUUAGAGAAAUGCCAUCACUAAUAAUAUAACAGGCAUCAUUCCAAGCUCGUAUUCAUUGACAAUGAUUUUAUCAAGGUAUUACAAUGCAUUUGACAUUUGUAUUAUGAUAUUUAACAAUGAAAAAUGUAACUUUUUGAAAGCCCCUUCAUGUUCUCAUUAUCUACAGAGGGGAAGGAUACUGUGUUCCAGAUGGAGCUGAGAGCUAACUGAUUACAGUUAACCAGCAGACACUUAUCCACUGCUAUUGAAAUGAGAAUGUUUCCCCUCCCUCCCUGAUGGUACCUUGGACAGGUCCGUGAGGGAUCCCCGUUGGUUCAUCGUCAGGUCCAUGGCUGAAAAGAAAUCCCCCACGAUGACUUAGUGAAUGUGUGGCAGACUUGUAAAACCCCUAUGGUGCAUUAUGUGGAAAUCAGUUGCAAUGGCUUAUCUAUCCACCAGGUGGAGCAGUGAUGGAAGCUGACAGUUUAAUGCAGCUGAAAUAAUCUGUUUUUAUCAUAUUUGACACAAGGAAAUGUGCUUACAACACAGAGCAUACUUUUAAUUCUUAUUAUAUCAUGUCAUAUCAUAAUAAACAGGUCAUGACAAAAUUAUGCUCACGGUUUUUUGUAAAACACUGAUCCAGAUUGUUUUUUUUAUGCAUUAAAUAGCGAAUUGGCUGAAUGAAACACGCCUCUAGUUCCUGUCUGAUAAUACCUCCUAUUUUGUCUGCGAAUGCUCUAAUAAUGCG